UACGUAGGGGGCAAGCGUUGUCCGGAUUUAUUGGGCGUAAAGAGCGUGUAGGCGGCCAGAUAGGUCCGUUGUGAAAACUCGAGGCUCAACCUCGAGACGCCGAUGGAAACCAUUUGGCUAGAGUCCGGAAGAGGAGAGUGGAAUUCCUGGUGUAGCGGUGAAAUGCGCAGAUAUCAGGAGGAACACCGGUGGCGAAGGCGGAUCUCUGGGCCUUACCUGACGCUCAGGUGCGAAAGCUAGGGGAGCGAACAGG
rnacentral:rRNA from 1 species